UACAGAGGUCUCGAGCGUUAGGCGGAAUCACUGGGCUUAAAGCGUGUGUAGGUGGAUGCCUAAGUACCUUGUGAAAUCCCACAGCUUAACUGUGGAACUGCUUGGUAUACUGGGUGUCUUGAGUCACCCAGGGGCGAGCGGAACAAAUGGUGGAGCGGUGAAAUGCGUAGAUAUCAUUUGGAACGCCAAUGGUGAAAACAGCUCGCUGGGGGUGUACUGACACUGAGACACGAAAGCCAGGGGAGCGAACGGG
rnacentral:rRNA from 1 species